UGACCUGGGCUACACACGUGCUACAAUGGUUGGUACAACGAGUUGCGAGUCGGUGACGGCGAGCUAAUCUCUUAAAGCCAAUCUCAGUUCGGAUUGUAGGCUGCAACUCGCCUACAUGAAGUCGGAAUCGCUAGUAAUCGCGGAUCAGCACGCCGCGGUGAAUACGUUCCCGGGCCUU
rnacentral:rRNA from 1 species